GGGGGUGAACCAGUUUCGACGGGAGAGGCUGGAGCCGCGUGGCAGGCCGUGGCGCUCGGCCACGUUAAAACGAGCAAAACAAUAGGUGACAACAACACCUCCCCUGCUUACGCUUUCGCCGCCUAAGGCUGUGUAGCGUAGGUGCUGGGCCAUAGUAGCCCAGCCGUCCAUCCCAUCCGGCGCUGCCCGGGCGGAAUGAUGGGCGUCACUAAUGGCAGCGUGCGGUCCUCCAGACGCCGAUAAGGCGGGCCAAAGAGACAUCAGGCUGGGCAAACGCGUACCAUGCCGGUCGGGGCUACGUUCGCCGAGAUUCAACGACUGGAUAAGCCUGUAGAAGCGUGUCUUCGAAUCUUUCGGACGAGGGUUGCGAAGCCCUCCACCUCCACUC
rnacentral:tmRNA from 1 species